rnacentral:rRNA from 1 species
GAUGAACGCUGGCGGCGUGCCUAAUACAUGCAAGUCGAGCGAACAGACGAGGAGCUUGCUCCUCUGACGUUAGCGGCGGACGGGUGAGUAACACGUGGAUAACCUACCUAUAAGACUGGGAUAACUUCGGGAAACCGGAGCUAAUACCGGAUAAUAUAUUGAACCGCAUGGUUCAAUAGUGAAAGACGGUUUUGCUGUCACUUAUAGAUGGAUCCGCGCCGCAUUAGCUAGUUGGUAAGGUAACGGCUUACCAAGGCGACGAUGCGUAGCCGACCUGAGAGGGUGAUCGGCCACACUGGAACUGAGACACGGUCCAGACUCCUACGGGAGGCAGCAGUAGGGAAUCUUCCGCAAAGGGCGAAAGCUUGACGGAGCAACGCCGCGUGAGUGAUGAAGGUCUUCGGGUCGUAAAACUCUGUUAUUAGGGAAGAACAAAUGUGUAAGUAACUAUGCACGUCUUGACGGUACCUAAUCAGAAAGCCACGGCUAACUACGUG